rnacentral:rRNA from 1 species
CCUACGGGGGGCAGCAGUGAGGAAUAUUGGUCAAUGGACGCAAGUCUGAACCAGCCAAGUCGCGUGCAGGAUGACGGCUCUAUGGGUUGUAAACUGCUUUUAUAUGGGAAUAAAGUGAGGAACGUGUUCCUUUUUGUAUGUACCCUAUGAAUAAGCAUCGGCUAACUCCGUGCCAGCAGCCGCGGUAAUACGGAGGAUGCGAGCGUUAUCCGGAUUUAUUGGGUUUAAAGGGUGCGUAGGUGGUUAAUUAAGUCAGCGGUGAAAGUUUGUGGCUCAACCAUGGAAUUGCCGUUGAUACUGGUUGACUUGAGUAUAUAUGAGGUAGGCGGAAUGCGUGGUGUAGCGGUGAAAUGCUUAGAGAUCACGCAGAACUCCGAUUGCGAAGGCAGCUUACCAAGCUACAACUGACGCUGAAGCACGAAAGCGUGGGGAUCAAACAGGAUUAGAUACCCGGGUAGUC